CCUACGGGGGGCAGCAGUGGGGAAUAUUGGACAAUGGGGGAAACCCUGAUCCAGCGACGCCGCGUGGGUGAAGAAGGCCUGCGGGUUGUAAAGCCCUUUCAGUGGGGAAGAAAAGCCUCGAGCUAAUACCUCGGGGUCUUGACGUAACCCAUAGAAGAAGCACCGGCUAACUCUGUGCCAGCAGCCGCGGUAAUACAGAGGGUGCGAGCGUUAAUCGGAAUUACUGGGCGUAAAGCGCGCGUAGGCGGCUUUGCAAGUCGGGUGUGAAAUCCCCAGGCUUAACCUGGGAACUGCAUUCGAGACUGCAUUGCUAGAGUAUGGGGGAGGGAAGUGGAAUUUCAGGUGUAGCGGUGAAAUGCGUAGAUAUCUGAAGGAACAUCAGUGGCGAAAGCGACUUCCUGGACCAAUACUGACGCUCAUGUGCGAAAGCGUGGGGAGCAAACAGGAUUAGAUACCCUCGUAGUC
rnacentral:rRNA from 1 species